rnacentral:rRNA from 1 species
AAUGAACGUUGGCGGCGUGGAUUAGGCAUGCAAGUCGUGCGAGAAGUCUUUUGCUUGCAUUAGACGGAAAGCGGCGAAAGGGAGAGUAACGCGCGGGUACCUACCUCUAGGUUCGGGAUAGCUGCGGGAAACUGUGGGUAAUACCGAAUAACAUCUCCGGAUCAAAGGUGUGAUUCCGCCUGGAGACGGGCCCGCGUCCUAUUAGCUUGUUGGUGGGGUAAUGGCUUACCAAGGCAAUGAUGGGUAUCGGGCGUGAGAGCGUGACCCGACUCACUGGGACUGAGACACUGCCCAGACACCUACGGGUGGCUGCAGUCGAGAAUCUUCGGCAAUGGGCGCAAGCCUGACCGAGCGACGCCGCGUGCGGGAUGAAGGCCCUCGGGUUGUAAACCGCUGUCAGUUGGGAGGAAAUCACAUGGAGUUCUCUCCAUGUGUUGACCUAUCUUCAGAGGAAGGACGGGCUAAGUUCGUGCCAGCCGCCGCCGUAAUAC